UCGUGGGAUGAGCUGUGGUUAGGGGUGAAAUGCCAAUCGAACUCGGAGCUAGCUGGUUCUCCCCGAAAUGCGUUGAGGCGCAGCGGUUGACGAGCCAUGAGCUGUCUAGGGGUAAAGCACUGUAUCGGUGCGGGCUGCGAGAGCGGUACCAAAUCGUAGCAAACUAAGAAUACUAGGCAUGUCUUUCCGUCAACCAGUGAGACAGUGGGGGAUAAGCUCCAUUGUCAAGAGGGAAACAGCCCAGAUCACCAGCUAAGGCCCCUGAAUGAUCGCUAAGUGGAAAAGGAGGUGAGAAUGCCGAAACAGCCAGAAGGUUUGCUUAGAAGCAGCCAUCCUUUAAAGAGUGCGUAAUAGCUCACUGGUGGAGCGUUCUUGCGCCGAAAAUUUACGGGACUAAGCGAUCUGCCGAAGCUGUGGGAUACCGGCACAAAGAGCUGGUAUCGGUAGGGGAGCGUCCGCCUUAGGGU
rnacentral:rRNA from 2 species